ACGGAAGGCAGCAGCUAAGAAUAUUCCGCAAUGGACGAAAGUCUGACGGAGCGACGCCGCGGAUGAUGAAGGCCGAAAGGUUGUAAAAUCCUUUUGAACUGGAAAAAUAAGCAGGUCAGGCAAUGGAUCUGUGGUGCCGGUACAGUUUGAAUAAGCAACGGCUAAUUACGUGCCAGCAGCCGCGGUAACACGUAAGUUGCGAGCGUUGUUCGGAAUUAUUGGGCGUAAAGGGCAUGUAGGCGGUUGCCUAAGCUUGGUGUGAAAUCCCGGGGCUUAACCCCGGAACUGCAUUGAGAACUGGGCAGCUAGAGUUACUGAAGUGGAAUCAGAAUUCCAGGUGUAGGGGUGAAAUCUGUAGAUAUCUGGAAGAAUACCAAUGGCGAAGGCAGGUUUCAGGCAGAUAACUGACGCUGAGGUGCGAAGGUGCGGGGAGCAAACAGGAUUAGAUACCCUGGUA
rnacentral:rRNA from 1 species